AUUGAACGCUGGCGGCAUGCCUUACACAUGCAAGUCGAACGGCAGCGGGGGAGAAGCUUGCUUUUCCUGCCGGCGAGUGGCGAACGGGUGAGUAAUACAUCGGAACGUGCCCUGUAGUGGGGGAUAACUAGUCGAAAGAUUAGCUAAUACCGCAUACGACCUGAGGGUGAAAGUGGGGGACCGCAAGGCCUCAUGCUAUAGGAGCGGCCGAUGUCUGAUUAGCUAGUUGGUGGGGUAAAGGCCUACCAAGGCGACGAUCAGUAGCUGGUCUGAGAGGACGAUCAGCCACACUGGGACUGAGACACGGCCCAGACUCCUACGGGAGGCAGCAGUGGGGAAUUUUGGACAAUGGGCGCAAGCCUGAUCCAGCAAUGCCGCGUGUGUGAAGAAGGCCUUCGGGUUGUAAAGCACUUUUGUUCGGGAAGAAAAGAUUCGUGCUAAUACCAUGGGUCGAUGACAGUACCUGAAGAAUAAGCACCGGCUAACUACGUGCCAGCCGCCGCCGUAA
rnacentral:rRNA from 1 species